UACAGAGGGGGCAAGCGUUGUUCGGAAUUACUGGGCGUAAAGGGCGCGUAGGCGGCCUGUUAAGUCGAACGUGAAAUCCCCGGGCUCAACCCGGGAACUGCGUCCGAUACUGGCAGGCUUGAAUCCGGGAGAGGGAUGCGGAAUUCCAGGUGUAGCGGUGAAAUGCGUAGAUAUCUGGAGGAACACCGGUGGCGAAGGCGGCAUCCUGGACCGGUAUUGACGCUGAGGCGCGAAAGCGUGGGGAGCAAACGGG
rnacentral:rRNA from 1 species